GACGAACGCUGGCGGCGUGCCUAACACAUGCAAGUCGAGCGAACGAAAUUCCUUCGGGAAUGGAUUUAGCGGCGGACGGGUGAGUAACACGUGGGCAACCUGCCUCAUAGAGGGGAAUAGCCUUCCGAAAGGGAGAUUAAUACCGCAUAAGAUUGUAGUACCGCAUGGUACAGCAAUUAAAGGAGCAAUCCGCUAUGAGAUGGGCCCGCGGCGCAUUAGCUAGUUGGUGAGGUAACGGCUCACCAAGGCGACGAUGCGUAGCCGACCUGAGAGGGUGAUCGGCCACAUUGGGACUGAGACACGGCCCAGACUCCUACGGGAGGCAGCAGUGGGGAAUAUUGCACAAUGGGGGAAACCCUGAUGCAGCAACGCCGCGUGAGUGAUGACGGCCUUCGGGUUGUAAAGCUCUGUCUUCAGGGACGAUAAUGACGGUACCUGAGGAGGAAGCCACGGCUAACUACGUGCCAGCCGCCGCGGUAACAC
rnacentral:rRNA from 1 species